CUUGCUUCUCUUGAGAGCGGCGGACGGGUGAGUAAUGCCUAGGAAUCUGCCUGGUAGUGGGGGAUAACGUUCGGAAACGGACGCUAAUACCGCAUACGUCCUACGGGAGAAAGCAGGGGACCUUCGGGCCUUGCGCUAUCAGAUGAGCCUAGGUCGGAUUAGCUAGUUGGUGGGGUAAUGGCUCACCAAGGCGACGAUCCGUAACUGGUCUGAGAGGAUGAUCAGUCACACUGGAACUGAGACACGGUCCAGACUCCUACGGGAGGCAGCAGUGGGGAAUAUUGGACAAUGGGCGAAAGCCUGAUCCAGCCAUGCCGCGUGUGUGAAGAAGGUCUUCGGAUUGUAAAGCACUUUAAGUUGGGAGGAAGGGCCAUUACCUAAUACGUGAUGGUUUUGACGUUACCGACAGAAUAAGCACCGGCUAACUCUGUGCCAGCAGCCGCGGUAAUACAGAGGGUGCAAGCGUUAAUCGGAAUUACUGGGCGUAAAGCGCGCGUAGGUGGU
rnacentral:rRNA from 1 species